rnacentral:rRNA from 1 species
CCAGACUCCUACGGGAGGCAGCAGUGAGGAAUAUUGGUCAAUGGGCUUACGCCUGAACCAGCCAAGUCGCGUGAGGGAAGACUGCCCUAUGGGUUGUAAACCUCUUUUGUCAGGGAGCAACGCCGGCUACGUGUAGCCGGACUGAGAGUACCUGAAGAAAAAGCAUCGGCUAACUCCGUGCCAGCAGCCGCGGUAAUACGGAGGAUGCGAGCGUUAUCCGGAUUUAUUGGGUUUAAAGGGUGCGCAGGCGGAAGCGCAAGUCAGCGGUAAAAUUGAGAGGCUCAACCCCGUCGUGCCGUUGAAACUGGCGGGCUGGAGUUGGAGAGAAGUAUGCGGAAUGCGCGGUGUAGCGGUGAAAUGCAUAGAUAUCGCGCAGAACUCCGAUUGCGAAGGCAGCAUGCCGGCUCCACACUGACGCUGAGACACGAAAGCGUGGGUAUCGAACAGGAUUAGAUACCCCGGUA